GCCAGCAGCCAUAUCACCCUGCAGCUCUCAACUGGCGGCUCCACCGAAGCUCAGCAGGGUUGAGCCUGGUCAGUACCUGGAUGGGAGAGCUCCUGGGAAGCUAUGGUUGCUGCUGGAA
rnacentral:rRNA from 1 species